rnacentral:rRNA from 1 species
GCCUCAGUAACGGCGAGUGAAGCGGCAAGAGCUCAAAUUUGAAAUCUGGCCCCUCCGGGGUCCGAGUUGUAAUUUGCAGAGGAUGCUUCGGGUGCGGCCCCUGUCUAAGUGCCCUGGAACGGGCCGUCAGAGAGGGUGAGAAUCCCGUCUUGGGCAGGGUGCCCGUGCCCGUGUGAAGCUCCUUCGACGAGUCGAGUUGUUUGGGAAUGCAGCUCAAAAUGGGUGGUAAAUUUCAUCUAAAGCUAAAUACCGGCCGGAGACCGAUAGCGCACAAGUAGAGUGAUCGAAAGAUGAAAAGCACUUUGAAAAGAGAGUUAAACAGCACGUGAAAUUGUUGAAAGGGAAGCGCUUGCAACCAGACUCGGCCUCGGGGUUCAGCCAGCAUUCGUGCUGGUGUACUUCCCCGGGGCCGGGCCAGCGUCGGUUUGGGCGGCCGGUCAAAGGCCCCAGGAAUGUAUCGUCCUCCGGGACGUCUUAUAGCCUGGGGUGCAAUGCGGCCAGCCUGGACCGAGGAACGCGCUUCGGCACGGACGCUGGCGUAAUGGUCGCAAACGACCCGUCUUGAAACACGGACCAAGGAGUCUAACAUCUACGCGAGUGUUCGGGUGUCAAACCCGUACGCGCAGUGAAAGCGAACGGAGGUGGGAGCCCCCCCGGGGCGCACCAUCGACCGAUCCUGAUGUCUUCGGAUGGAUUUGAGUACGAGCGUAGCUGUGGGGACCCGAAAGAUGGUGAACUAUGCCUGAAUAGGGUGAAGCCAGAGGAAACUCUGGUGGAGGCUCGCAGCGGUUCUGACGUGCAAAUCGAUCGUCAAAUUUGGGUAUAGGGGCGAAAGACUAAUCGA